CUCACCUGGAGAUCUUGAUAAAACGCAGAUUCUGAUGCAGGUCUGGGGUGGGACCUGAGAUUCUGCAUUUCUAACGAGUUCCCAGGUGCUGUUGC
rnacentral:pre_miRNA from 1 species